GCUAUAUUGGCAAAGGGUGCUAGUUGCCCUCCUUUAUUGCGCUUUAAAGUGAUGAUCACUGUAAAACCCUUCUUCCAACGACUCUUUUUAGGUCCUAUUUCCCUUCACAUACUUCCAUAUAUUCCCUUCAGACCUUGCAACAAUCUUGUCCACUUUAAUUAUAUCACAUCCAAUGAUCAUCUCCCUUUCGUUUAUUUGACUCGACAAUGGAUUUCCAAACCCCUAGGAUCCAUUA
rnacentral:lncRNA from 1 species